UGGGGAAUAUUGCACAAUGGGGGAAACCCUGAUGCAGCGACGCCGCGUGAGUGAAGAAGUAUCUCGGUAUGUAAAGCUCUAUCAGCAGGAAAGAUAAUGACGGUACCUGAGUAAGAGGCCCCGGCUAACUACGUGCCAGCAGCCGCGGUAAUACGUAGGGGGCAAGCGUUAUCCGGAUUUACUGGGUGUAAAGGGAGCGUAGACGGCAGUGCAGGUCUGGAGUGAAAGGCGGGGGCUCAACCCCCGGACUGCUCUGGAAACUGUACGGCUGGAGUGCAGGAGAGGUAAGUGGAAUUCCUAGUGUAGCGGUGAAAUGCGUAGAUAUUAGGAGGAACACCAGUGGCGAAGGCGGCUUACUGGACUGCAACUGACAUUGAGGCUUGAAAGUGUGGGUAUCAAACAGG
rnacentral:rRNA from 1 species